rnacentral:lncRNA from 1 species
UGUCACUUUACUCUGUGUUCCCCUUGGUGGCAGGAGUAGCCAUGCGGUAGAAGAAUACCAAUCUCAGCUCUCUGCAGUGUGCUGGAUAUUGUGUUUGCUCCUCCAGCUCCACUUUUGGUGCUUCUCUGCCCAGCUCAGACUUCCAGUAGGGUGGGCAAACAGGAGGCACUUGCAGGCGAUCAGAAGGUGGGAAGAGAUUCAUGUUUUAAAAAAGUGACAUUGCUUUAUUACUGUUGGCAGGUGGGGCCUGCACCACUUGCCAGAACGGUCUGUGACUUUCCAGUUACUUUUCAGGGCCUCUCCUUGUGUUUUGGUGGGUGUGUCUAGAGGAAGAGAGGAAAGCAAAUGCCCUUUUAGAGCAAGUUGCCUUUUAAACUGCAAACUUGAAACAAAUAAAGCAGGUUGAAGAUCACAGUGUAAUAGCACUUUAUAGGGUCACAACUCCCUGCUCCACUUCAUGGGGGCUUUGGGAGUUAGAGCCCCCUCAGGGUAAGGUGGUUUCAGCUACACUAGGCCUUUCAUGCCUCCCUGGCAGGCAGUGUCUCCACUUUUUACAAAUUUGCCUGAGACCAUUCCUCAGGUCAUUCAGGGGGUCAUGGCCCAGCCAGGCUUUGAACCUGGGCUGUGUGAUUCCACAGCUGGUGCUCUGGCCUGUGUGCCUCAUGAUCAUGGAUACAGCAUCUAUUCUUAUUUUUUCCUGUAGUCCUGGGGUACUUAGCACCAUGGCAUAUCUAUAAUAAGCACAUGCACACCUCGAAGGAGGUCUUCACUUCAACAUACAAGUUGACCAUGGCAUGCUCUGGGCUCCAGUCCUCUACAAAAAUGUAGGGCAGGAACUACCAGUUGUCAGCACAGCACCAUCCCACAUUGCUCUUCUAAUGGAGCCUUUCACCCCAGAUGUUCUUUCUUGUUUGAUGGGAAGGAUCCAAGUAUGUAAAGAUUAAGUUCUAGAUCAGCUUUGGUCUGUCCUAAAAGAAAUUUGCCAGUGGAUUAUUCCAUAUGGAUAAAAGUCAGUUUCUCUGGUCU